AUUGAACGCUGGCGGCAUGCCUUACACAUGCAAGUCGAACGGUAACGCGGGGCAACCUGGCGACGAGUGGCGAACGGGUGAGUAAUGCAUCGGAACGUGCCCAGUUGUGGGGGAUAACUGCUCGAAAGAGCAGCUAAUACCGCAUACGACCUGAGGGUGAAAGCGGGGGAUCGCAAGACCUCGCGCAAUUGGAGCGGCCGAUGUCGGAUUAGCUAGUUGGUGGGGUAAAGGCCCACCAAGGCGACGAUCCGUAGCUGGUCUGAGAGGACGACCAGCCACACUGGGACUGAGACACGGCCCAGACUCCUACGGGAGGCAGCAGUGGGGAAUUUUGGACAAUGGACGCAAGUCUGAUCCAGCCAUGCCGCGUGCGGGAAGAAGGCCUUCGGGUUGUAAACCGCUUUUGUCAGGGAAGAAAUCUUCUGGGUUAAUACCUCGGGAGGAUGACGGUACCUGAAGAAUAAGCACCGGCUAACUACGUGCCAGCAGCCGCCGUAACAC
rnacentral:rRNA from 1 species